rnacentral:miRNA from 1 species
CCCACCUGCUGCCACCCAGCCCUCUGCCUCUUCCUAGGAUCAGACUGGCUCUCCCAGGAGCCUGCCUGGGG